UCUCUGUGCUUGCUGCACGAACAGCUGCGCACAUACACGCGUACGCGUACGCACGCAAGGUGCUAUUACAGCCUCUUGUGUUGCGCCAGCCUUAGAGAAAGCAGAUAGACGCACGCUGUGCCUCCACCGAUAGACCUGCUACACUCGCAGCGGGACCUCCCAUUCGUGCCUGAACACAUACACACACGCACACACGAGAGGCAAGUAGCAGGGCAAUGCCCUCCUUCUCUAGAUCUGCGCUGGACAUGCUUCAGGCAGCCGAGGGUGCCCUCACACAACGGCGCUGCUACGGCAGCGGUGUACCGGGAGGGGCAAGCUCCUUCGCUUACAAGACCAUCAACACAGGAAGUGGCGGGUACGCUACUGGUCAAUGGUACAGAGACCCAAACAGCAGCGCUCUGUCGCCCGUGGAAAACGUGGAAGAGCUGCAGCAACAACUUGGUCGGGCCAUGCGUGAGCUGAUUGAGUUGCGCGCUGAGCUGGCUGCUGAGCGAGAUCGCCGACACGAGACGUUAAUCGCGAUGGGGCGGCAGUGGAAGGAAGAUAUUUUGGUCGAAGUCCAUCGGCGUGGCGCGGCCCUUCAGUCGGAUGUGUCCGCCGUAGAGGAGAAGAUGAUGGCGCAGUGGAAGGAGAGCAACGAGGGUCGUCUUGUGAUGCGUCGCCAAUUAGAGGAAGCCAUGCGCGCAGGCAAGAUUCGCGACACGAACCAAUUUCAGCUGCGGGAAGAGGUGCAGGAAACGGCUCGGCACCUAGAGGAGCGAGUGGACAUGGCCCUCGCGCAAAGCAGCGCCGCCCGCGCGGAUUGCAGCCGCCAGCUCGAGCAAGAGCGGGCCACCCUUUCUGAACGUCUGGACGUUGAGCUGCUGCGGCUAGUGGAGAUGAGGCGCGACGAUCAGCGUGCGCUGCAGCAAGCAAGAGAGCUGAUGCGUGACGAGGGCCUGAGAGUGAGGGACGACAUACGCAGGGUGGUUCAGGAGGUGUGGGAGACGUCGGCAUCCGCGCUUGUGAAAACCGCCACGGAGCCCAUCGAGCAACUCCGCGCGGAGUUGCGAGAAACCAAAGCGGCCGCGCAAGCAAUGGAGGAGAGGGUGGCGGACUGUGUGCGAGCGUGCCAGGCGGAGUGCCGAACGGUCACGACGACCACGACGGAACGACUCCAUGCUCUGGAGUCGAAGGAGGCCGUUGUGAUUUCGUCGAUCGACCGCGCCGAGCGCAAGGCAGACUCCGCGUACGAGACAGCGCGCCACAUGGAGGCCACGAUAGCGGCCGCGAAGGAUGCAACAGAGCGAGCGCUCGUGCAGGUGGCCGGUGCUGCGGAGCGGACACUGAAGGUGGAGCACGCGCUCGCAGAUCGCGACAGUCGCCUCGUUGCAGUUGAAGCGCAGUUGCAUGCCAUCACCACUGCAGAGGGUCUAAGAGCGGAUGUGGAAGCCUGCAAGCGGCAGGCGGGCCGCCUGGAGAGCCGUGUGGAGGCUGCGGGGGCACUGUGCACACGAGUGGAGCAGCUGGCGGACCGCGCUGCACAGCAAGUGGCGUCGUUUGCCGAUCGUAUUGAGAGCUGCGAGAGGUCGACACAGCGAAGCGUUGGCGCCGUGCAGAGAGUGCAGGACGGUCUGGAAGCCUGCGAGUCAGAGGGCCAUCAGAUGCGCACCCGCUUUGAGACCAGCGAGGCGGUACUCCAGCGCCACACACACCUCCUUGCGCAGCUGGAACAGCAGAUUUCUGGGCAGGAAAAUCGCCUGGGGCUGUGGCGUCAGCAGCAGGAGCAGCACGUGAAGGAUCAGAUGACGGUGCAGCGUGAGCUGACAGAGCGCGCGGAGGUGACGCACACCGUUGCAUCCCGAGCCCAGCAAGUCAGCAGUGAUGCGCGUGCAGAGGUGCACCGUCUGGAGCGGCGCAUCGACGACGUCGAUCGCCGCCUCACUUCUACUUCCGCCGAAACGACUACCCUACGCGGUUGUAUUGAUAGCCAACACACGCAGGCUCUUGAGGCACAGCGGCAGCAGCAGCAGUUAGCGGACGAGUUACAGUCGCUGGCAUCCAAGGUGGAUGAGCGGAUGGCACCGGUAAAGGAGCUCGUGCGGAACUCGGAGGAGCGGAUGAAGCGGGCGGAAGCUCAGGCGCAGGGCCUUGGGAAAAAGCUGGCGGAGUGUGAGGAGCGCCUGCACGAAAUGGGCCCCCGCGUGCUGGACCACUUGAAGGACGCAGUGCGGCACCAUGUCGGUGAGGCCCAGAAACGCCUCUUCGCCGCCAUGAACGAGGGCAUGUCGCGGGUGACGGAGCGAGUAGCGGCGGUGGAAGAGGCUGCAGAUCUGUCGCAACAGCGCGUGGCGGAAAUGCCACAGCAGUUGACCGCCAUGCAGCAAGCGUCCGCGAAGCUGCAACGCCACGUUCAAUCCCUCGAGGCCAGUCUUCAGUCCUUAAGCGGACAGACACAGAAACUCGCAGUUCAUGCAGACACGCAGGCAGGCGACCGUCAGCGCUUGGGCACGGUGCAGCAGGAGCUGAUGUGCCUCACUGCGGUGCAGCAGCGCACGCAGCAAGACGUGAGGCUUCUCCAGGAAGCAAUGCGGGUGCUGCAAGCCAUGGCAACAGUCGGCUCAAUGAGGGAUUUUUCGCUCAGCGAGCUGGGCACGUCACAGGCUCGCACGGCAAGCACGGAGAUGGCUCCUGCGGCGGAUGCGAUCUCGUCGUCCCCAUCGGCACACCAACCUCCCAGCUCCGGCGUGCGCACAUCAUCGCACGCAUUGGUGGCCGGUGAGCAUUCUCAGCCGCCGGCGCAGCGGGCAGCCGCGGUUGCAGCACCGCCGCUGGCGAACACUUCUGGGGCUUCUUUGCAGGAGCUGCAGGAUCGCCAGCGCGCGUCUUCUGGCAGCAGGAGCAGCAGCAGCAAAGAGGGAAGCGAAGAGCGGCCAGCACUGCAUCUCAGCGGCGUGUCCUCUGUGCGGCCGUCGAAUGGGCAGGAGGAGCGCUUGCACUCUCUUGUAGAGGCGGGAGAUGUCAGCACCGCGUCGGCGGAUGGCGACGACACUGUGGAGGCCUUCACGGUGAGGCCUGGAGCGGUGGCGAGGCUGCCACGCACCUCCGCCGGGACCAAUGGCUCAGCGUCGAUGCCACUGUUUGCCACGACAAGGACCGAAACGGUGGAGCAGCUGUCCGCGCCGGCACACGACUCCACGCAGGCCUCGGCGGUCGGCAAUGUCAGUCACUGCACGGCGAUUCGCGAAUUCACCACCAUCACGUCGUCUUCCUCGUUAUCUGACAGCGACUCGAGCGAAGACGAUAGGAGGAGGGUGCAGGAGCGUGAGGUGCCCACGCGGCGUGGGGCGCCCUCCGAGGAGCGCACCGACGACGUCUCAUCUGACCUGACCACCGCUAUCAUGCUGACGAGCGAGGCGUCGACGAAGCAGAGCAACCAACGGGGUAGUCGCCCACCACCGUCGUCGGGGCAACAACGUGCGGCAAAGAUGUCCACCGCCUGGAGGCAGUGCUCUUCUGGGUCGUCAGAGGAGGGAACGCCAGUGGCACGCCGAGCAGCAUGGGGGAGCGCGCCUCCGCCACAGUCACAGCAUCUGAUAGGUGCCAGCGAGAGCGAGUCGGAGAGCACGUUGCAAGGUGCCGGGGCGCUGGACGACAGCGACGAUCGCGUCCAGGCCAUGCCGCGGCACGAUUCUGACACAGAGGAGGUCGAGAGAGCGGUCACAGCUGAGGAGGCGGUGGCCGGCGUGGCACGCCUGCAGCCCACAUGCACAAGCCAGGCAGCCGCCACUACUUAUUUCGCGCGCUCCCCUGGCAACCCAAACUGGAAUGACUGGGACGACGACGGCGAAGAGGACGACGACGAGAAGCGGCGGGGGAACAUCGAGGAAGAAGACGAGGCGCUUGAGCCGAAGCCCACCAGGCCCUACGCAGCGCCACACGCAGCGUCUGCCGCAAGCGAAGACGACACAGAUGAUGCCGUCAUGCACUUUAAGGACGCGGAAUCGUCGAGCUGCACACCAGGGCCGCGAGAAACUGACGCCACCACUCCCGCUGCGGGGCUUGCCGCGACAGUGAUGCACCGUCAGCAAGACGCGGCCGAUGAUCUGCGCGCGACGCCGCGCCGAAUGUUUGUGAGCACCUCCGACGAUGGCCGAGGGGUGGGUACGCAGCUGCCUGAUUCAGUUCCUCGGCAUGGGAGAGGCACGACUUCUUCAUCCUCAUCGUCAGCAGAGAGAGCGGAGGCGCUGGGCCUGCGAGGUGCUCGGCAAAGCCCACCGCAGCGCGCAGCCACGCAGAUGCGCCAGUAUACCAACUUCGACGACUCCACCAGCAGUGACGACGACUAAGCGUUGCGGCAUCAUCGCUGAGUGAUGAGCCGCCACCGUUGUUUGCUGGCCUCCCCCCUCUUCCCUGCGCCGGGGUGAGCGUUUUCUUCUUUGUGCUGCUCGCGCUGCAGUGCGGGGGCGAGUCAGGCGCCUGCCUCGCAGCGCGCGCGAGUGUGCGUGUACACUUCCGCCGAGCUCACCCGGCCUGUUUCUUAGUUGUGUCAGCAUGUUAUAGAGACCUCAUUGCCUUAUGUUUCGCUCUGUGGGCAGGUGCAUGUGUGCGUGCUUGUGUGUGUGUGUGUGCUCGAUUGAACGGCGUGUUGAGGCGUUGGCAUGCCUUUAUCCGCACAGGUGCGUCGGCGAACAGGACAACUCUCCGAACUGCCUUCAUGGACAUGUGGGUGCAUGUAUACUCGUGCGGUGAGCCGGCGUCGUGUGUGUGCGUCGGUGCUGCUUGCAUGUUGACGUUUUUUUUUGCUUCUCCACUUUCUUCUCUGUGUGCCUCGUUCGCUCCAGCCGUGUCAACCGAUGCGUGCAGUCCAUCGCGCGACGCCCACGAGAGAAUGGAGAAGGGUGGGCUGAUGCUCGCGCUCUUGGUGCCAGGCUUGUGUCCGUGAGCGCGCUUCUCUACGUGUGUGCUGCAAGCGAGAUCAAG
rnacentral:misc_RNA from 1 species